rnacentral:rRNA from 1 species
AUACGUAGGUGGCGAGCGUUAUCCGGAAUUACUGGGUGUAAAGGGUGUGUAGGCGGGAAGGCAAGUCGGAUGUGAAAAUUAUGGGCUUAACCCAUAAAGUGCGACCGAAACUGUCUUUCUUGAGGAUCGGAGAGGUAAUGAGAAUUCCCGGUGUAGCGGUGAAAUGCGCAGAGAUCGGGAGGAAUACCGGUGGCGAAGGCGAAUUACUGGACGAUAACUGACGCUGAGACACGAAAGCGUGGGGAGCAAACAGGAUUAGAUACCCUGGUAGUCCACGCCCUAAACGAUGAAUGCUAGGUGUAGGGGAGUCAUCCUCUGUGCCGCAGCUAACGCAAUAAGCAUUCCACCUGGGGAGUACGGCCGCAAGGUUGAAACUCAAAUGAAUUGACGGGG